AUUGAACGCUGGCGGCAUGCUUUACACAUGCAAGUCGAACGGUAACAGGCCGCAAGGUGCUGACGAGUGGCGAACGGGUGAGUAAUGCAUCGGAACGUGCCCAGUCGUGGGGGAUAACGCAGCGAAAGCUGUGCUAAUACCGCAUACGAUCUAUGGAUGAAAGCGGGGGACCGUAAGGCCUCGCGCGAUUGGAGCGGGCGAUGUCAGAUUAGGUAGUUGGUGGGGUAAAGGCCCACCAAGACAACGAUCUGUAGCUGGUCUGAGAGGACGACCAGCCACACUGGGACUGAGACACGGCCCAGACUCCUACGGGAGGCAGCAGUGGGGAAUUUUGGACAAUGGGCGCAAGCCUGAUCCAGCAAUGCCGCGUGCAGGAAGAAGGCCUUCGGGUUGUAAACUGCUUUUGUACGGAACGAAACGGUCUGGGUUAAUACCCUGGGCUAAUGACGGUACCGUAAGAAUAAGCACCGGCUAACUACGUGCCAGCAGCCGCAGUAAGAC
rnacentral:rRNA from 1 species